GGGUUCGGGAAGUGAGAAAGUGAGCUACGAGUGUCAUGAGCCCACAAAAUCUUAGAAAAAUCUUCAACAUUCUUUCAAGUACAUCUGUUGAUGAUUCAGAGUAUCCAAAAAAUUGACAGACAUCGAUCGAAGGAGUUCGAUCAGCAUCGGCCGUCAAAAAGGCUCUACAACGAGCUAGCACUCGUGAGGAGUCGAUCAGAUCAGGAACUUCAUG
rnacentral:lncRNA from 1 species